rnacentral:lncRNA from 1 species
CCCCCUACCCCCUAUACAUCUCUCACACUCACCUCUCUUCAGAGACUCCUAUAAACCUUAAAAGUCGCCACUAUAUCCAACUGCCCUAAAGUGGCGGCGGCGCCUCUAUACCACCUCAAAUCCAUAUCCCGAAACCCUCGUGGCUUCUUCAUACCAAAUCAUGCACCCCUUUUCUUCAAAUCAUCACAGAAGUUGUCGAAUUUUAAAUCAAAGGUCGGAACCCUAAAAUCCCAAAACCCAAGUCAGUGAAGUUUACCGAAUGCUUAAGGCCAAAAUCGGCUUUAUUCUUGUAUUUUCAUUUAAGAACACAUGAUUAAAGCCUAUUUAGUUCAAAAAUCAGAGUUACCUUUGAAGACCUUUCAAGCCUUUUUCCAUUUUGCCUAGGUAUUCUUCAGUUCUUUUCCUUUCUUUCAUUUUUUUUGUUCAUUAGUUUGUCUGUUUUAAGUUCUAGUCUUCAUCUUCUCUUACUUUGUCUACUCCGUUUUUUUGUUUUCAUUUUAAAUUGGUAUGUUUGUGUGUUUUAAAAUUGAGUUUUUCAUGCAUGUCGUGUUAAUUUUUAUUGUUUCUUUGUGUUAUUUUAUUUUCUCGUUUUCAAAGAAAAAUAAAUUCAAUUUUCCUCUUGGGCAAUUCUGCCUAGCCCAAUGAUUCCAUACGGACUUUGAAAUCAGAAGCCUAGGAAGGAAAUUCAAUCUAGUCUUGCAAGCCUAGGAUUUGUGAAUUAAACCAUAGGUUCAAUCUGAGUCUUGACCCGUAGGUGUUUGGUCUUUGAAGUAAAACUGGGGCUCCUAAGGGGUAGUUUAGGAAUUGUAGGUGGGGGAAUAUUUUGUAACAAGAAAAGGAAGCUUCUAUGAAGUAGAAAUUGGGGGGCUGUUAUGAUAACUUGGUAAUUACAAUAAGGUUAGUUCAGAAAAAAGAAAAUUACCUAAGGAUUUCUAAACAAAAAAGUAAAAUUCAUAAAGGGGUAAAAUGCAAAUGACAAAAUCUGCUAUUUUCCCUACUUCUGUUGCCUAUAAAGGCACCUUUCUUGCCUUCUAAGGUAGAAAUUCAGUGAUAAAAUUCCAAAAAAUAAAAUGGCUAAGCGCCAUUAUAUUCAUUGAAUUUUUUUCCCUUCCUUGGUUGAUUUCUGAAGAUUUCCAGGCUUGACACUUUUUUUGGUUCAUUUUGACAGUUCACAUGGAGUGAUAUUGAGCUUUGGGAAGGUUUUCUGGUUCGAGUUGUUAAGGAUCACUGUUGCAUUAAAUUGUCCAGGUGGUUUUAGUGUGUCAAUUGUUGAAUCUGAGUGAACUGGGGUUGCUGGUGUUGGCAUGUUACUGCUCUAUUGCUGAUUCUUCCUUUUCUAUUUUAUUUUUGAAUUCCAGGUACUUUUCCUCAAUAUGAAAUAAAAUCUGAAAGCAUGAUAUAGAUCCCUUUGUUUCAUUUCUAGUUCUUCACGAUUCUAUGCUUUCUAUCACAUGAAUCACUGUGUAAUUAACAAGAUUCCUAUGUUUGUACUUGCUUAAGGACAGUUAGAAAAUUGAUGUUUUUCUUUCUUUCAGUUUGUUUUCUUUUACUACUAUGAUGGAUAUAUAAGUGUGCCUGUUACUUUUAGCUUUUCAUACCCUUAAUAUGCAUUAAUGAUGAACUAAUGUCAUUUAAAUGUGAAGGUUUUGGUUGAAUUCAAGAUUUUUGACAAGCAGUACUGGUCUAUUCUAUCCUCACCCCAUUCAACAAGUUAGAGUUUAGUUUUAGAUAUAUUUAAUGGUAUCCCUUGUAUAUGAUCAGUCCUGCGAGCUGGUUUCUGGUUUAUGAAAUUUCGUUGUCUUUUAUAUGAUAGUUAAGGCUAAUACAUAAGCAAUUGUAUGACAAUAAGGUUUUGAAUUCAUGCUUAACAUGUUUUGUAUUGUAUUAAUAUUUUCAUUUGAAUGAGUGUUAAAACAUCCAAUGAUUGUGUUGAGGGCUUUAGUACUGAUUUUUAAGAUUCUAGAGGGAACUAGGCUAUAAUGCAUUGGUCUAUUGGCUGUUAAUGUUGAGGUGAAUUAAAUUCAGCUUAGUCGUUGAGAGGUUCAUUGAUUGUCUAUUAUUGCUUACAUGAGCAGAGCUGGUUUUUUAGGUUCAUGGUUAAAGUCCUACUAGUUUUGUUCAUGCGAGAUUUGCAUAUCAGCAUUUCAAGUUAAAAGCUUUGAAAAUUUAAAUUCAUAUGCAGUAUGGUUUUCUCAAAAUUGGCUUCCUGAUUGUUGUCAAAUCGUGAAAUUGUUAAAGCUUUCAUGUAGUUGUCCAUAGGUCCAUUACAGGGUGUUAUAUAACUUGGCAUAUACGGUAGUUCCACGAUUAUUUUCUACUAUGUC